UACGUAGGGUGCGAGCGUUAAUCGGAAUUACUGGGCGUAAAGCGUGCGCAGGCGGUUUUGUAAGCCAGAUGUGAAAUCCCCGGGCUUAACCUGGGAAUGGCAUUUGGGACUGCAAGGCUUGAGUGCGGCAGAGGAGACUGGAAUUCCUGGUGUAGCAGUGAAAUGCGUAGAUAUCAGGAGGAACACCUGUGGCGAAAGCGGCUCACUGGACCAUAACUGACGCUGAUGCACGAAAGCUAGGGGAGCAAACAGG
rnacentral:rRNA from 1 species